AGAAUGAACGCUGGCGGCGCGCCUAAUACAUGCAAGUCGAGCGAGAAGACGUAGCAAUACGUUUGUAAAGCGGCGAACGGGUGAGGAAUACAUGGGUAACCUACCCUUGAGUGGGGAAUAACUAGCCGAAAGGUUAGCUAAUACCGCGUACGCUUCUUGGACUUCGGUUCAGGGAGAAAGCGAUGCCGAGGGUAUCGCGCUCUUGGAUGGGCUCAUGUCCUAUCAGCUUGUUGGUGAGGUAACGGCUCACCAAGGCUUCGACGGGUAGCUGGUCUGGAGAGGACGAUCAGCCACACUGGCACGUGCGACACGGGCCAGACUCCGUACGGGAGGCAGCAGUAAGAAUAUUGCGACAAGUGGGACGAAAGCCUAGACGCAGCGACGCCGGAGGUGGGGAGUGAGGUCUUCGGAACUUCGGUAAACCCCCGUUU
rnacentral:rRNA from 1 species